UUAAUUGAAGAGUUUGAUCAUGGCUCAGAUUGAACGCUGGCGGCAGGCCUAACACAUGCAAGUCGAGCGGCAGCGACUUAACUGAACCUUCGGGGAAUGUUAAGGGCGGCGAGCGGCGGACGGGUGAGUAAUGCCUGGGAAUAUGCCCUGAUGUGGGGGAUAACUAUUGGAAACGAUAGCUAAUACCGCAUAAUCUCUUCGGAGCAAAGAGGGGGACCUUCGGGC
rnacentral:rRNA from 1 species